rnacentral:rRNA from 1 species
AGUGAACGCUGGCGGCAGGCCUAACACAUGCAAGUCGAACGGCAGCACAGUAAGAGCUUGCUCUUACGGGUGGCGAGUGGCGGACGGGUGAGGAAUACAUCGGAAUCUACUUUUUCGUGGGGGAUAACGUAGGGAAACUUACGCUAAUACCGCAUACGACCUACGGGUGAAAGCAGGGGAUCUUCGGACCUUGCGCGAUUGGAUGAGCCGAUGUCGGAUUAGCUAGUUGGCGGGGUAAAGGCCCACCAAGGCGACGAUCCGUAGCCGGUCUGAGAGGAUGAUCGGCCGCCCUGGAACUUGGACACGGUCCAUGCUCCUGCGGGAGGCAGCAGUCGGGAAUGUUAGGCAGUGGGCGGGAGCCUGAUCCAGCCAGACCGAGUGGGUGAAGGAGGCGUUCGGGUUGUAAAGACCUUUUGUUGGGAAAGAAAAGCAGCCGGUUAAUACCACGCUGUUCUGACGGUACCCAAAGAAUAAGCACCGGCUAACUUCGUG